AUCAACGCUGGCGGCGUGCCUAACACAUGCAAGUCGAACGAGAAAGUGGAGCAAUCCAUGAGUAAAGUGGCGACCGGGUGAGUAACACGUGACUAACCUACCUCCGAGUGGGGAAUAACUCCGGGGAAACCGGGGCUAAUACCGCAUAACAUCGCAAGAUCAAAGCAGCAAUGCGCUGGGAGAGGGGGGGUCGCGGCUGAUUAGCUAGUUGGCGGGGGGUAACGGCCCACCAAGGCGAAGAUCGGUAUCGGCCUGAGAGGCGCACGGACACACUGGAACUGAAACACGGUCCAGACUCCUACGGGAUGGCAGCAGUGGGGAAUUUUGCGCAAUGGGGGAAACCCUGACGCAGCAACGCCGCGUGGAGGAUGAAGCCCUUUGGGGCGUAAACUCCUUUCGACCAAGACGAUAAUGACGGUACUGGUGGAAGAAGCACCGGCUAACUCUGUGCCAGCAGCCGCGGUAAUACAGAGGGUGCGAGCGUUGUUCGGAAUUAUUGGGCGUAAAGGGCGCGUAGGCGGUGCGGUAAGUCACCUGUGAAAUCUCCCGGCUUAACUGGGAGCCUGCAGGCGAAACUACCGUGCUGGAGUGUGGGAGAGGUGCGUGGAAUUCCCGGUGUAGCGGUGAAUGAAAUGCGUAGAUAUCGGGAGGAACACCUGUGGCGAAAGCGGCGCACUGGACCAUAACUGACGCUGAGGCGCGAAAGCUAGGGGAGCAAACAGGAUUAGAUACCCUGGUAGUCCUAGCCCUAAACGAUGAUUGCUUGGUGUAGCAGGUACCCAAUCCUGCUGUGCCGCAGCUAACGCGAUAAGCAAUCCGCCUGGGGAGUACGGUCGCAAGGGCUGAAACUCAAAGGAAUUGACGGGGGCCCGCACAAGCGGUGGAGCAUGUGGUUCAAUUCGACGCAACGCGAAGAACCUUACCUGGGCUCGAAAUGCAGGAGACCGGGGUGGAAACAUCCCUUCCCCUUAAAGGCUGCUGCAUAGGUGCUGCAUGGCUGUCGUCAGCUCGUGUCGUGAGAUGUUGGGUUAAGUCCCGCAACGAGCGCAACCCUUAUCCCUAGUUGCCAUCGGGUCAAGCCGGGCACUCUAGUGAAACUGCCUCGGAUAACGAGGAGGAAGGUGGGGAUGACGUCAAGUCCUCAUGGCCUUUAUGUCCAGGGCUACACACGUGCUACAAUGGUCGGUACAAACCGUCGCAAACCCGUGAGGGGGAGCUAAUCGGAAAAGCCGGCCUCAGUUCGGAUUGGAGUCUGCAACUCGACUCCAUGAAGCUGGAAUCGCUAGUAAUCGCGGGAUCAGAACGCCGCGGUGAAUACGUUCCCGGGCCUUGUACACACCGCCCGUCACAUCACGAAAGUGGGCCGUACUAGAAGCAGGUGUGCUAACCGCAAGGAGGCAGCCUUCCAAGGUACAGCUCAUGAUUGGGGUG
rnacentral:rRNA from 1 species